UACGAAGGUGGCGAGCGUUGUCCGGAAUUACUGGGAGUAAAGGGCGUGUAGGCGGGAGAGUAAGUCAGAUGUGAAAUUCGAGGGCUCAACCCUGGCGCUCCAUCUGAAACUAUUCUUCUUGAGUGCUGGAGAGGAAAGCGGAAUUCCUAGUGUAGCGGUGAAAUGCGUAGAUAUUAGGAGGAACACCAGUGGCGAAGGCGGCUUUCUGGCCAGUAACUGACGCUGAGGCGCGAAAGCGUGGGGAGCAAACAGG
rnacentral:rRNA from 1 species